AACGAACGCUGGCGGCAUGCCUAACACAUACAAGUCGAACGAGACCUUCGGGUCUAGUGGCGCACGGGUGCGUAACGCGUGGGAAUCUGCCCUUGGGUUCGGGAUAACAGUUGGAAACGUCUGCUAAUACCGGAUGAUGUCCUCGGACCAAAGAUUUAUCGCCCAAGGAUGAGCCCGCGUAGGAUUAGCUUGUUGGUGAGGUAAGAGCUCACCAAGGCGACGAUCCUUAGCUGGUCUGAGAGGAUGAUCAGCCACACUGGGACUGAGACACGGCCCAGACUCCUACGGGAGGCAGCAGUGGGGAAUAUUGGACAAUGGGCGAAAGCCUGAUCCAGCAAUGCCGCGUGAGUGAUGAAGGCCUUAGGGUUGUAAAGCUCUUUUACCCGGGAUGAUAAUGACAGUACCGGGAGAAUAAGCCCCGGCUAACUCCGUGCCAGCCGCCGCCGUAA
rnacentral:rRNA from 1 species